GAUGAACGCUGACAGAAUGCUUAACACAUGCAAGUCAACUUGAAUUUGGGUUUUUAACUUAGGUUUGGGUGGCGGACGGGUGAGUAACGCGUAAAGAACUUGCCUCACAGCUAGGGACAACAUUUGGAAACGAAUGCUAAUACCUAAUAUUAUGAUAAUAGGGCCUCCUAUAAUUAUGAAAGCUAUAAGCGCUGUGAGAGAGCUUUGCGUCCCAUUAGCUAGUUGGAGAGGUAACGGCUCACCAAGGCGAUGAUGGGUAGCCGGCCUGAGAGGGUGAUCGGCAACAAGGGGACUGAGACACGGCCCUUACUCCUACGGGAGGCAGCAGUGGGGAAUAUUGGACAAUGGACCAAGAGUCUGAUCCAGCAAUUCUGUGUGCAAGAUGAAGUUUUUCGGAAUGUAAAGUGCUUUCAGUUGGGAAGAAAGAAAUGACGGUACCAACAGAAGAAGUGACGGCUAAAUACGUG
rnacentral:rRNA from 1 species